AGGACGAACGCUGGCGGCGUGCUUAACACAUGCAAGUCGAACGGUGACCCAGGGCUUGCCCUGGUGAUCAGUGGCGAACGGGUGAGUAACACGUGGGCAACCUGCCCCUGACUUCGGGAUAACUCCUCGAAAGAGGAGCUAAUACCGGAUACGACCACUUCGGACAUCCGAUGGUGGUGGAAAGUUUUUCGGUCAGGGAUGGGCCCGCGGCCUAUCAGCUAGUUGGUGGGGUAAUGGCCUACCAAGGCGACGACGGGUAGCCGGCCUGAGAGGGCGACCGGCCACACUGGGACUGAGACACGGCCCAGACUCCUACGGGAGGCAGCAGUGGGGAAUAUUGCGCAAUGGGCGAAAGCCUGACGCAGCGACGCCGCGUGAGGGAUGAAGGCCUUCGGGUUGUAAACCUCUUUCAGCAGGGACGAAGCGAAAGUGACGGUACCUGCAGAAGAAGCACCGGCUAACUACGUG
rnacentral:rRNA from 1 species